CCUACGGGUGGCAGCAGUGGGGAAUAUUGGGCAAUGGGCGCAAGCCUGACCCAGCAACGCCGCGUGAAGGAAGAAGGCUUUCGGGUUGUAAACUUCUUUUAAGGGGGAAGAGGAGAAGACGGUACCCCUUGAAUAAGCCACGGCUAACUACGUGCCAGCAGCCGCGGUAAUACGUAGGUGGCAAGGGUUGUCCGGAUUUACUGGGUGUAAAGGGCGUGCAGCGGGGAGGGCAAGUCAGAUGUGAAAUCCCGAGGCUCAACCGCGGAACUGCAUUUGAAACUGUUGGUCUUGAGUACCGGAGAGGUCAGCGGAAUUCCUGGUGUAGCGGUGAAAUGCGUAGAUAUAAGGAAGAACACCAGUGGCGAAGGCGGAUGACUGGACGGUAACUGACGGUGAGGCGCGAAAGCGUGGGGAGCAAACAGGAUUAGAUACCCCAGUAGUC
rnacentral:rRNA from 1 species